rnacentral:rRNA from 1 species
AUGGGGAGGGAUCUGCAGGCCGGUUUGGGUGCAGGCGCGGCGGCGGCGCACCGGGAGAAGGUGAAGCUGUUCAUGGGGGUGCUGGCGCUGCAGUUCCUGCUCGCCGGCUUCCACAUCGUCAGCCGGGCGGCGCUCAACAUGGGCAUCAGCAAGCUCGUCUUCAUCGUCUACCGCAACGUCAUCUCCCUCGCCCUCCUCGCCCCCUUCGCCUACUUCCUCGAGAAGAAGGACAGGCCGCCGCUCACCUUCUCGCUGCUGGCCGAGUUCUUCGUGCUGGCGCUCAUCGGGAUCACGGCGAACCAGGGGUUCUACCUGCUGGGGCUGUACCACCUGUCGCCGACGUACGCGUCGGCGAUCCAGAACAUGGUGCCCGCCAUCACCUUCGUGCUGGCCGCGGUCCUCCGGCUGGAGCAGGUGGACCUGGGCCGGCGGCACGGGGUGGCCAAGGUGGUGGGCACGGUGGUGAGCAUCGGGGGCGCCACGGUGAUCACGCUCUACAAGGGCCUGCCGCUCUUCAGCCACAACCUGCACGUGCAGGCCGUCCUCUCCUGGACCUCCGGCAGCCCCAUCUUCAACUGGACGCUCGGCUGCGUCUUCAUCCUCGGCCACUGCCUCUCCUGGUCGGGAUGGAUGGUGCUCCAGGUGCCGGUCCUCAAGCGGUACCCGGCGCGCCUCUCGGUGAUCUCCCUCACCUGCGUCUUCGGGCUACUCCAGUUCCUCGUCAUCGCCGCCUUCACGGAGGAGGACCUGAGCCGGUGGAAGGUGCGGUCCGGCGGGGAGCUCUUCACCAUCCUCUACGCGGGGCUGGUGGCCUCCGGCGUGGCGUUCGCGCUGCAGAUCUGGUGCAUCGACCGCGGGGGCCCGCUCUUCACCGCCGUCUUCCAGCCCGUGCAGACCGUCGCGGUCGCCGUCAUGGCCGCCAUCAUCCUCGGCGACCAGCUCUACACCGGAGGGAUCAUCGGCGCGGUGCUGAUCGUCAUCGGGCUCUACUUCGUGCUGUGGGGCAAGAGCGAGGAGAAGAAGACGAGGAGCCAGGACCCGGAGAUGGCGAGGCACCUGCUCGGGGAAGACGGCGGCGCGGCUGACAAAGAUCAGCAAGUGCUGGCGUGA